rnacentral:rRNA from 1 species
AGUGAACGCUGGCGGUAGGCCUAACACAUGCAAGUCGAACGGCAGCACAGUAAGAGCUUGCUCUUACGGGUGUCGAGUGGCGGACGGGUGAGGAAUACAUCGGAAUCUACUUUUUCGUGGGGGAUAACGUAGGGAAACUUACGCUAAUACCGCAUACGACCUACGGGUGAAAGCAGGGGAUCUUCGGACCUUGCGCGAUUGAAUGAGCCGAUGUCGGAUUAGCUAGUUGGCGGGGUAAAGGCGCACCAAGGCGACGAUCCGUAACUGGUCUGACAGGGUGGUCAGCCACACUGGAACUGAGACACGGUCCACACUCCUACGGGGGGCAGCGGUGGGGAAUAUUGGACAAUGGGGGCAAGCCUGAUCCAGCCAUACCGCGUAGGUGAAGAAGGCCUUCGGGUUGUAAAGCCCUUUUGUUGGGAAAGAAAAGCAGCAGGUUAAUCCCCCACUGUUCUGACGGUACCCAAAGAAUAAGCACCGGCUAACUUCGUG